rnacentral:rRNA from 1 species
UACGAAGGGUGCUAGCGUUGUUCGGAAUUACUGGGCGUAAAGCGCACGUAGGCGGAUUGGCAAGUCAGGGGUGAAAUCCCGGAGCUCAACUCCGGAACUGCCUUUGAUACUGCCAGUCUAGAGUCCGGAAGAGGUGGGUGGAAUUCCUAGUGUAGAGGUGAAAUUCGCAGAUAUUAGGAAGAACACCGGUGGCGAAGGCGGCCCACUGGUCCGGUACUGACGCUGAGGUGCGAAAGCGUGGGGAGCAAACAGG